rnacentral:rRNA from 1 species
GUUUCUGGCCAUAUCACCUAAAAUGGGCCUAAUUUUAUCAGAUCUUGGAAGCUAAGGAGAGUUGAGCCUGGAUAAUGCUUGGAUAGCAGGUUAUUAUAGGCU